GACGAACGCUGGCGGCGUGCCUAAUACAUGCAAGUUGAGCGCUGAAGGUUGGUACUUGUCCCAACUGGAUGAGCAGCGAACGAGUGAGUAACGCGUGGGGAAUCUGCCUUUGAGCGGGGGACAACAUUUGGAAACGAAUGCUAAUACCGCAUAAAAACUUUAAACACAAGUUUUAAGUUUGAAAGAUGCAAUUGCAUCACUCAAAGAUGAUCCCGCGUUGUAUUAGCUAGUUGGUGAGGUAAAGGCUCACCAAGGCGAUGAUACAUAGCCGACCUGAGAGGGUGAUCGGCCACAUUGGGACUGAGACACGGCCCAAACUCCUACGGGAGGCAGCAGUAGGGAAUCUUCGGCAAUGGACGAAAGUCUGACCGAGCAACGCCGCGGGAGUGAAGAAGGUUUUCGGAUCGUAAAACUCUGUUGGUAGAGAAGAACGUUGGUGAGAGUGGAAAGCUCAUCAAGUGACGGUAACUACCCAGAAAGGGACGGCUAACUACGUG
rnacentral:rRNA from 1 species